UACGUAGGGCGCAAGCGUUAUCCGGAAUUAUUGGGCGUAAAGAGCUUGUAGGUGGUUUGUCGCGUCUGCUGUGAAAAUCCGAGGCCCAACCUCGGACUUGCAGUGGGUACGGGCAGACUAGAGUGUGGUAGGGGAGACUGGAAUUCCUGGUGUAGCGGUGGAAUGCGCAGAUAUCAGGAGGAACACCGAUGGCGAAGGCAGGUCUCUGGGCCAUUACUGACACUGAGAAGCGAAAGCAUGGGGAGCGAACAGG
rnacentral:rRNA from 1 species